GGGGUAGGUAGAGGAGCACAAGCAUGAAUACAUAACGGGAGGAUGGCAACGUUGAUGGUUAUGGAAGAUGCUAAGUGCCGAAAUGGAUAAAUUGAGCCAAUCGUUUAUUCAUUGGAAUUUCUUCGAUGGGAGAAUUCUGUCAUUGAUUAGUAAAAUCGAUGGAGCGCUACCGGUUAA
rnacentral:ncRNA from 2 species